rnacentral:rRNA from 1 species
UACGGAGGAUGCGAGCGUUAUCCGGAUUUAUUGGGUUUAAAGGGUGCGUAGGCGGAUUUGUAAGUCAGCGGUGAAAUCUCCAGGCUCAACCUGGAACCUGCCGUUGAAACUGCGGAUCUUGAGUAUGGAUGAAGUAGGCGGAAUUCGUUGUGUAGCGGUGAAAUGCAUAGAUAUAACGAGGAACCCCGAUUGCGUAGGCAGCUUACUAAGCCAUAACUGACGCUCAUGCACGAAAGUGUGGGUAUCAAACAGG